AUAGUAUUCCCUCUGGAAAUAUUUGUCGGAGGAAUAGACAUAUCUAGAUGUAUUUUAGUUUUAGAUAUAUUUAUUUUUAUACAUUUUUUCGACAAGUAUUUCCGGACGGAGGAAGUACGUA
rnacentral:pre_miRNA from 1 species